CUCAAUUGAGAAAUUCCACUUCACUCGCACUCACGACAGCAGCUCACCGACCAUCACCAGUGAUAGCAUCUCGCCAACAGCAUCUCUCCGACAACAUCUUACCGAUAGCCUCAACUCAUCUCAGCAACGACGACACAACAACCCACAAAUGUUGCCAACAGCCUCAGAUCGUCUCAGUGACGACGAUACAGCAGCCCACAAAUCUCGCCGACAGCUCAACAACGACGACGUUCUCUGUUCACAUAUGUAAGUAUAUGUUUGAUAGGAACUAAUAAUUGACAUUAUCUGAUGACGUUCUCCGUUCACACACUCUCCGUCAUACUGACAAUUAUAAUUGCACUUGGUUAUUAUAAUUACUUCAAUCUAUUUACAGUCAGCAGUAUUAAACAUUAGGUAAGAAGUGUCAGCUUUACUUCUCACUAUUGAUUUUAAACCUAGUGGAUUUUGUGGAAGUUUGCACUUUUUGCUGUUAAAAAAUAGAAAAUAAAUGCAUUAAUAUCCCUUGAAUUUUGUUUCCAACAGUGAUUAAAGCUUGGGAAAAGGAUUACGUUGCUAUUUUUCAGUGACCGCUUGCCUCUUUCUCUCCAACUUCGGCCAAGCAAAGGUAAGUUUAUUGCUCUCUAUUUUCUUAUAAUGAAGUCUUUAAAUGUUGUAUUAAGGUGGGAUUAUUCGCUGUAGAAGGUUUUGAAAGUCAUAGGAAUUUUGUGAUGAUUAUAUGGUAAGAGAGGGACAUGU
rnacentral:lncRNA from 1 species